AUUACCGAGUUUACAACUCCCAAACCCCUGUGAACAUACCUUAAUGUUGCCUCGGCGGAUCAGCCCGCGCCCCGUAAAACGGGACGGCCCGCCAGAGGACCCAAACUCUAAUGUUUCUUAUUGUAACUUCUGAGUAAAACAAACAAAUAAAUCAAAACUUUCAACAACGGAUCUCUUGGUUCUGGCAUCGAUGAAGAACGCAGCAAAAUGCGAUAAGUAAUGUGAAUUGCAGAAUUCAGUGAAUCAUCGAAUCUUUGAACGCACAUUGCGCCCGCUGGUAUUCCGGCGGGCAUGCCUGUUCGAGCGUCAUUUCAACCCUCAAGCCCCCGGGUUUGGUGUUGGGGAUCGGCUCUGCCCUUCUGGGCGGUGCCGCCCCCGAAAUACAUUGGCGGUCUCGCUGCAGCCUCCAUUGCGUAGUAGCUAACACCUCGCAACUGGAACGCGGCGCGGCCAUGCCGUAAAACCCCAACUUCUGAAUGUUGACCUCGGAUCAGGUAGGAAUACCC
rnacentral:rRNA from 1 species